UUUUUUUUGCUUUUUGGGGGUUGCACCUGCAGCAUAUGGAAGUUCCCAGGCUAGGGGUCAAAUGGGAGCUCUUGCUGCCAGACUACACCACAGCCACAGUGUCUGUGACCUAUCCUAUAACUCACGGCCUUGCGGGAUCCUUAACCCACUGAGCAAGGCCAGGGAUUGAAGCUGUCUCCUCAGGGAUAGUAGUCACAUUCGUUUCUGCUGAGCCACGAUGGGAACUCCAAAUGUUGGGAUUUUGAUAGGAAUUACUCUGAAUCUGUAGAUUGCUUUGGGUAGUGUGGACAUAAAUUAUAAUGGUAUCAAAUCUUCUAGUCCAUGAACAUGGGAUGUGUUUCUGUUUAUUUGUGUCUUCUUUAGUUCCUUCUGGCAAUGUUGUAUAGUAUGUGUACAAGUCUUUCAUCUUCUUGGGUCAGUUUAUUUUUCUUUGAUGCUGUUGUAAAUGGAAUUGUUUAUGUUUUCUCUCAGACUGUCCAUUAUUAGUGUAUAGAAAUGCAACUGAUUUUUGCAGGUUGAUUUUUGUGUCCUGAAAUGCUGCCAUAUUUUUUUAUUAGUUCUAACGGUGUUGUAGAUGUGAGCGGAGUGUUUAGGGUUUUCUAUGUAUGAGAUGUGCAAAUGGAUAACGUCACUUCUUCCUUUCCUAUUUGGAUGCCUUUUAAUUCUUUUUCUUUCCUAAUAGCUCUGGCUAUGACUUCCAGUGCUGUCUGGAAUAAAAGUGGCAAGAGAAGGUAUUUUUCUCGUGUUCCUGAUCUCAGAGGAAACGCUUUCAGCCUUCUCAUACUGAGUAUGAUGGUAGCUGUGGGCUUUUGAAUACGGCCUUUAUUAUAUUGAGGUCAUUUCCUUUUAUUCCUAGUUUGAGUGUUUACAUCAUAAAAGGGUGUUGAGUUUUGUCAGAUACCUUUUCUGCAGCAGUUGAAAUGAACCUGUGUUUUUUUUCCUUCUUUCACUCAUAGGGUGUAUCUCAUUGAUUUUCGGGUGUUGAACCAUCCUUGCACUGCAGGAAGAAAUCCCACGUGGUCAGGUGUAUGAUACUUUUACUGUGCUGUUUAAAUCAGUUUGCUCGCAUUGGGUUGAGUACAUUUGCAUCUGUUUCUUGUAGUUUCUUGUUUGACUUUUGUACCAGGGCUAGGGGUCCAAUCGGAGCUGUGGCCACCGGCCUACGCCAGAGCCACAGCAACGCGGGAUCCGAGCCGCGUCUGCAACCUACACCACAGCUCACGGCAACGCCGGAUCGUUAACCCACUGAGCAAGGGCAGGGAUCGAACCUGCAACCUCAUGGUUCCUAGUCGGAUUCGUUAACCACUGCGCCACGACGGGAACUCCCCUCUUUCCUUUCUGAUUGUAGUUAUGCCUUUUUUUCCCUUAGUUAAUUCAGCUCAGGGUUGUCUGUACAGUUCAUAUCUGAUCUAGCGGUUCUUUCAUGGUUUAACAUACAGAGCACCCAUAAUGUUCUAGGCAUGCCCGUCUCCUUUUGCUUCCGUAUCCACCGAAGCCUUUCGAGUGGUUUUCCUCCUGGAACUUUUGUCCUAUACGAUACACUUGAAUUAUGUUCUAGUCCGAUUCCAAGAAAAUACGCUGUUUUAUCCAGCGGGUCUGGUCAUUUGGCUGGAACGCCAGCACGUCUGGAUUAUGCAAUCAGCUUGGUGAUCCAGUCAGUAGGGUGUCCUCAUGCGUCUCCCCCAGUGACCAGCUCACCGUGAAGUAGGGCGCUCCUCCUCGGGAAUCCCAGAAGGGAACCGAGUCUAGAAACCUCCAUCACAGAAGUCAAGCAAGAGCUAGUUUUUAAAGACGGUUUAGUCGUAGGGGACUUAGCUGGAUAGCUCUCCUCUCUCCCUCAUUUGCUCACCUCUUCCAGACCAGAGGGGUAAAGGACCACUUUCGUUAUGGAUUGAUCAGUUCCCUGAAUCUGGCAUUUUGGCCUCAGUUUUUGUGUGUAUCUUUACCGUAGCUUUUGCCAGCCUCACCCCUGAGAGGAUGGGUGGACUUUAAGGUCUUUCCUUGCAAACACGAGGUCAUUUCCACACACGCAACGGGGAGGUGCACUAAGCGUGAAGAGAUGCCGAGAGCACAAAGGAAAGCCCGACGGAGCCCCGGAAACGAGACACGUAUCAUCACGCUGGGGCGCUGGCUCGGGCCAGGGGCUGAGGCCAGGGGACGGCACCCGCAGGUGCCGAGAGGGUCAGGAUUCAAACAGCGAUUCCAAAUGAUGCUUAUCCCGAAGGGGAAGAAGAACAGGAGGAAAAUGCCAGGCUGACUGGGGCCGAGGGAAGGCUGUGUGUCCCUGCGGAUCCAGAAGCAUAUUAUGUAAUAGCUUUUAGGGUUUCUGCUCUGGGGUACGCCACUCACAGAAACAGCAAUGCCACGGGCCACGGUCUCAACCCCCAAAGACCCUCUUCACCCCCUGGUUUCCAUCCGGCUGCAUUUCUCCCAUGACCUCCUUUAUCUGAGCCACACCUGAAUCCCACCAGAAAGGGGACCUCCUGGACUCCCAGGUGCGGUCACUCUAUCUAGAAAAGGUCACCCCUUCCCGCUUCUAGAUGGUUGCUGCUUUCGUACACUUACCGCCUUGGUACCAUGAAGAAACUGUGGCUGAUGGGGGUAACCGUUGACUUUUAUUUCUUUUUCUUUGUGGAUUAUUUUCCGGUGGGGCCAUAUAGGUUAUGGAAGCACCUUGAGCGCCUCAGUCAAGGAGCCUGUCUGCAGAGAGGGUGUAUGAUGCAGUCACCAUCCUUCACUUGAACCAUGAAGCUCUCACUUCAAGGUGACAGCUGUGGCCCCAGCAGGUCCUUAAGCAAGGAAGGGAGGGCAGUGGGACCAGGGAGGCAGCCCUGAUUGGGACGGAGGCAGGUCUGCCCAGGCCAGUCACCAGGGAUGGAGCCCUGACCGUGAGGUAGGUGUGUCCCUGUCUGCGCCCCUCCAGCCCCCGAGACGGUAGGGCUGACCCCUGGGGCUUGAAGCGCAGGCCGCCCUCCUCUCAGCAGCCUCAUUGCUGACUGCUUUGGAAGCCUCUCCGUGAAGUGGGGGGGGCAUGAAGCUUCUCAGGGGAAAUGCUUCUGAUUAGGAUGUUCUGUUGGCACUGAGACUUCACUUCACAGUGAAAUGUAAACUGUCGGUCAGCCAAGGGUUUAGUGAUUCCGGCAAUAGACAUUUUAAACGUGACGAAAGUCUGGAGUUCCCGUGGCGGCUCAGCGGGUCAGGAACCCGACUGGUGUCCGUGAGGAUGCGGGCUGGCCUUGCUCUGUGGGCUCAGGAUGCAGCGUCGCUGCAGGCUGCAGCGUAGGUCCCAGAUGUGGCUUGAAUCUAAUGUGGCUGUGGUGUCGCUCUGAUUCGACCCCUAGCCCGUGAACGUCCAUAUGCCGCAGGUGUGGCCCUAAAAAGAAACUGUAAAAAGUAAAUAAGCGUGGCGAAGAUUUAAGAAGAAGAAGUACUGAAAUGUGUCUGGCCUCACGUGAUGAUCUUUGACGUAGGUUGUCAAAGGGAGACCUUUCUACCUGUGAUCCUCAGGAAGGAUGCUGGUUCACCUCCACUGUAUUUUGAGCAGCUUCUUUCAGUCACAACUUCUUUUUUUCUUUUUCGGUCUUUAGGGCCACACCCGCGGCAUAUGGAGAUUCCCAGACUAGGAGUCGAAUCCGAGCUACAGCUGCCAGCCAACACCACAGCCAUAGCAACGCUAGAUCCGAACCCCAUCUGCAACCUACACCGAAGCUUGGCAACGUUGGAUCCUUAACCCACGGAGCGAGGCCAGGGAUCCAACCCACAACAUCAUGUUUCCUAAUCGGAUUCGUUUCCGCUGUGCCACGAUGGGAACUCCACCGUCAUGGAUUCUUGGAGAUGGAUGGGAUAAUUUAUUGCGAGUGAUUUGGUUUAGAAGGGCCGUCAUAAAGUCAGUGUCUUUCAUGGUCUGGAACCCCCAGAAGGUUCUCCUGUUGUUCACUGCGAGUGGGAUUUCCCAGGGAAAAGCCCAGGGCGAUGGCCUCUGGGCCACUGGAGAGGCCAGGGACAAGGCUUUGUCCGGGGACCAUUGCCUGCCUGCUGCCCCAGCACAGGGGCACCUCACAUGUGCCAGUUUCCCCUCCCCAGCCAGACCGAGGUCCCUGCCCCCAUCCCCGCCCCAACCCAAGACCACCCAGCAAAGGAGCAGAAAUGACAGACGAGAACCCUGGUCCCUGGCGCAGCCCAGGCCAUGGUGCCCAGUGCCAGGCGGCUGAGGGGAGCUGGCACGUGCAGCCUCCAAGGUGGGGGCCGUCAGUCCCCCCUCCCACUGAGCUCUACAGGCCCCCGUCCCCUCGGGAACCCAGGAAGACGGCCUGUCUCCUGGGGCGCGUUCGUGCAAACUGGGGAGUGCGGGGACUUCGUUGGCAAGGACGGGUCCCUCGAGAGAGUGGACGUGGCCCUGGCUCUCCCCCUGCUCCCUGCGCUCUGCUGAACAGCGCGCCCCCGGCAUCUCCCUGCGGUCCACCCCCGAGCCGCGUGCGCAUGGGGUGCGUCCCAUCCUGGCUUUACCUGAGCUCCUUCCUUUGCCAGCCUGCCCUCGCCUGUGUAAUUACGUCUGUGCCCACCCUCUGCCUUUUGCUUUUCUCCUGUCUUCAAUCUCGACUUUUCUCUUACCCUUACCCCCCGUGGCGACUAGCAGAUGUGGGUGUUACACCCCCACCCCCCUUUGUGGCAUACUUUGCACCAUCCCGGCAAGAAGGCCCUCUUUUUCUUCGAGUCACCCUUGGGGUCCCCCCCGCUGCCCCUAACCCUCAGGUGAUCUGCUGCUGAGAGCAGUGCUCAGGGGACAUAAAAAAAGGGUCCCUUUCCUGUGGGCCUGAUACUCAGUGCAGGGCACCUGCACAUCCAGUGAAGUGAAAAUCCACAGCGGCCUAUAGUUUCACAUUGGAGAGAAAUUCAGAGAAGGGUGCCCCUCGGGACAGGGGAGAAAAUGAAGCAGAUGGUCCUGGAGCAGUGGCGGCUUUGCCACAGGCGGGGGGGCGUUGAACUCUGUAUAACCUGCAGAGACCCUGAGCGGGUGGGUGCGUGGACGGAUGGACGGAUGGACGGGGGAGGGACAGGCCUUCCAGGUGGAAAGGGUACCGGGACUCAAAGUCACGAAGUGAACAUGCUUUUGCAGCAGCAUAAAGUGAAGCCUCUUUGUGUUGAUACACCUGAGACCUGGGCUAGAAUUUCAGCUCCGUUAGUGAAGGUCCGCAGUCUCCAGCUAAACUGUUGCUGCUUGGGAGGAGUGGGAACCCCCUGAAGAGAAGGUGGGGCCGCAGUGAAACCCGUGCUGGCGGGAACUGCCCUGGGGUUAGUUAACGCACCUGCUGAUGACGGCAAGGAGCCCAUUUGCUGGAGGAGGACCAGGCUGUGGGAACUGGACCGAAGGUGGAGUCAGAAUGUCUGAGGGAACCACAGUGGCAGGGGAGGGGACAGUGUGACCGGAUGCUGACAAAACUUAAUAUUCAUCUCAGAAACCAGGGCUGGAACUGAAGUUCCAAGACUCAUUACUUGAGCCUUGAGGCUGUGGAAUUGCAGAGAUAAGAAUCCUAAGUGCCUUUAGCAGACGGCAAAGGAGGAGAGACGUCUUGUCAUAGGCAGAGCUUUUCAUGGACAGUUGGGGGCCCUUAGCGGAUUCUUGGUCACUGCAGAGCUUUGCAGCCUAGGCUGGGGGCCUUUUGUCUUUUACUAGGCUUCCUGCCUUCCCAGAGCACUGCCCAGUUCCAGGCACACGGGUGAGAAGGAAACGGUGAGCUGACCUGCACAGUGACCUGCUUGGCUUAGGCUGAGUUCCUUUUCUAUUUAAGAAAUGAAAACCGCUGUCCAGGACAGUUUAGGACCGUGCAAGGGAAGAAGUUUGGCAGACGGAUCAUCUGCUGGUCAGUGUCAGUGACAGACCUUUAAAAUUCUGAUGCUUUGUAGAAAAUUGAAAGAACCCUGUAAACCAGUUAUG
rnacentral:lncRNA from 1 species